ACCAUGGGACGACAUGACUGCUCUUUUGAUGCACAGGGGGUGGUGAGCCAAGGAGACUAGGAGAGAUAAGGAGAAAAAAGCCAUGGAGGAGUGGGGAAAAGGAUGAUAAAAGGCACGAUAGAGAGGAAAGGGAGAUUAGAAAGGGAGGAAAAGAAAGGUGGUGGCUUGUGUGUGCUGCUUCCAAUCGCCGAUUAAAAGGGCGGGGAAGCUAGCAGAGGAUUAAAGCCACAAGGGCCUCACCUCCAAAGGCUACGCAUGGGAUGGAUGCUGAUGAUGGUAUGCAUAGAUAUACACGAAGGAUAUAAAGGAAGAGCAGAACCCGAGAAGAGACGGAAGGAAGCACGAGAGAUCAUGCACGCACCAAGAACAAGGCGCAGAGACGAAGAUGAACACCGGCAGGAUCGAGAAGAACAAGGGCCAAAUUAUCACAGAUGAUGCAUAUGGGCCGGGUAGCUCAGAUGCAUGUGGUGCAGAACCGAUCUUUGUUCUGAAAGAAAAUUUACCUGCUGCCAGUGGGCUGCAUCCAUGCAAGACCUCCAAUUCCUUUGCUACCCCCCACAAUUCUUUGCUCCUUGGAUGCAGUAGUAGUCCGAAGGGAGAUGUGGAGAGAAGGGAGGGUGAAGAAGAUGAGCUUCCGCUGGAUUUCUUGAGGACGAAGAGAGAGAAUGCUACCCUGUGCCCUGUGGUUGGCCAGUCUGCUCCGGCCAGAACCUCCACCUCUCGUCGUCAGUGAUGGGAAAAGAAUUUGGAGCGCUGUGUUUGGCUUGCAAUUGUGGCCAAUUUUUAGUUCUGCUGUACAGGCAGCUGGGGAGAGUAGUUGCGUUCUUGCUCAUGACUCGUGAGGUCCACACCAGUCAACCGGCCGGGAUUCCACAGAGGAACGCGGAGGAAGCCCUGGGGAAUGGCCGUUUGUGGUGCGGAGGGCGGCGUGGCACGUGCGGCCAACCCGACUAUUUCCCUGGCCGUCACUAUUUUAGUGCUGCUUUUCGCGUUCACCCUUUUUCUUGGCACAUGCCACAUGACACCUGCUUUUCUUUUCUAUUUCCAACACGAAAUUGUAAUCUUUUUAGAUAUAUCUAAUGUGUUUCUCAUAUGAAUACAUGCUACCUUGCUUUUGAAUUAUAAAACA